UGGGGAAUAUUGCACAAUGGGGGAAACCCUGACCCAGCAACGCCGCGUGAAGGAAGAAGGUCUUCGGAUCGUAAACUUCUAUCCUUGGUGAAGAUAAUGACGGUAGCCGAGAAGGAAGCCCCGGCUAACUACGUGCCAGCAGCCGCGGUAAUACGUAGGGGGCAAGCGUUGUCCGGAAUGAUUGGGCGUAAAGGGCGCGUAGGCGGCCUGGUAAGUCUGGAGUGAAAGUCCUGCUUUUGAGGUGGGAAUUGCUUUGGAUACUGUCGGGCUUGAGUGCAGGAGAGGUAAGUGGAAUUCCCGGUGUAGCGGUGAAAUGCGUAGAGAUCGGGAGGAACACCAGUGGCGAAGGCGACUUACUGGACUGUAACUGACGCUGAGGCGCGAAAGUGUGGGGAGCAAACA
rnacentral:rRNA from 1 species